UACGGGGGGGGCAAGCGUUGUUCGGAAUUACUGGGCGUAAAGGGCCCGUAGGCGGCCAACUAAGUCCGACGUGAAAUCCCCAGGCUUAACUUGGGAACUGCGUCGGAUACUGGAUGGCUUGAAUUCGGGAGAGGGAUGCAGAAUUCCAGGUGUAGCGGUGAAAUGCGUAGAUAUUGGGAGGAACACCAGUGGCGAAGGCGGCUCACUGGACCGGAACUGACGCUGAGGCGCGAAAGCGUGGGGAGCAAACAGG
rnacentral:rRNA from 1 species